AAAAAAAAAAGGAAAAGGAAAAAGCAAAAAAACGAUGUGUUUUUUUAUUCGUGUUUGACGCGAAUCAAUUCUGACCAACGUUGCCCCAUAUAUAUAUAUAUAUAUACAUCCAUCGUAUCUGCCGCUAACCGAUAUUGCAACGCGACGAUGAGCUCGCGUGCAGAUAAAACAGCGACAAUUAGCAUACGUAAGGUCAGUCGAUGGAUUAUUCGACGAGAAAGAGGCGCGAUGGAACGUCACACCUGCAGUGUGUCUUGGACGUCUCGCCUCGUCGUUGGCGAUAUGCACGAAAUAGAGCCUGCCCUGCUAUUCGAAUAAAAAUCUCUGGUGGAAUCGCCUUGGCCGAAGAUUAAUGAACCUGCGCCUACUUUUAAAGCGGGGCUUUGCCAAGGCCGGCACGGAAGGUGUUCCAUUCCAUUCAGCGAAUGAAGCGCGUAAACGGCUCUCUAAAUCGAGAGCCAAAACCAUUAGAUUAGAGGGCGUGUUUAAGGCGAGGCGGCUGCUUUUCAUUACGCUUCUCGCACUUUUGCCUGACGUGCAACAGAAUCGAGGCAACAAAUUUCGCGUGCAAUUCGAUCGAAAAUUCUCGUUCUCGGUUUCUCGACAAGAGAGAAGGACAGAGUUAUAUGUAUUGUUGUCUGUGAAAGAGGGAGGGAAAAAGAACGAGUCUUUCGAGGAGAAGAUAAUCGAGAGAGGAAUUGUUAUCAGUCUACCACUUUGUUCCUUGGAAAAACAAGAUGAACCAAUUGACAUUGUUGAAGAGUUUAUUGAAUUUAUUAUUUGAGCUCUUUAUGAAAAUAUUAAAAAAUUUUUUUCCUUUAGAUUAGAUAUUUGAGUAUCAUAUCAUUUUUCUCUUGUUCCAGACCAGAUCUGCGAAAUAUCGUCGACGACCUUGAUCUUUUACCGUCGAUCUAAAAACAAAAAUCUAUAAGAAAUUGCGUGCGGAAAGGAAGAGAAGUCAAAUGAAUUUAUUCGAAAAGAGAGAGAGAGAGAGAAAAUAAUAAUUUGUUAAUUAACAAAUUGUUACGAAAGGGAUAAUUAUAAAAGAGAAAACAAAACCACUCAAGUUUAUUAACAUAUAACACUGCGAGUUAAUCUCGUUAAGAAAGUUGAUAUAUGGACGAAUUAAAUCAUUCUCAAGAGAAUCCGGCGGAGGCGUUUACGUUUAGAAAUGCAAAUUGACCGAUUCGAUCAAUUUGUAACAUUAAACGAUUCAUCCUCUGUACAAUUAUUAUUUUUGUAUCCGAUCGCGAUUAAGCGGGUUGUGUUGGCUGCGUUGCGAAAGGGGGAACUCGGUAAAAAUACUGCGAAACACGUGACAAUCAAGUAUUCCGAGGAUUCUCGAUGAUUUCUUUGCUUUCUAUCAUUGCGCUUGCGCAAUGGAUAUAUUCACGCUUGACAUUGUUACGUGGCAACGUUCAUACGGAUGGCUUGCACGCGAAAACCGUUAAAUUUGUGUGACCAAUCAUUGUGCACGUCCGACUGAAUGUUAAGAAAGAAUGGUGAACAAAUAAGGGGGUAAAUGCAACGACUUGUCAAUCAGGAUCGUAAUACGGUAGCAUAGAGAAAGAUCGUUGCAUACAAAUCGCACUUAUUCAAAAAUAGCGUGGAAAUGUUUCGUUGAACGAGUCGGCGAAGUUUGCCGACAAACUUCUCGAACGCGAUUUAUUUACGAAGGAAAUAUCGCGAAAAGGGACUAGAAUAUUUUUUACAGAAACAGUUGUUCAAAUUUUUAAUAUAAUUGUAUUAAGAUACCUUUGAGUCGAAAUUCAUGGUUCUUUUAUUUCCUUCGGAAAAAGUAGAAUCGAUCGAAUCGAAAUUGAGGUUAGGUCGAAACAAAAUAUUACGAAGGAAGUC